rnacentral:rRNA from 1 species
UCAGGCCUAACACAUGCAAGUCGAACGGGAUCUUCGGAUCUAGUGGCGGACGGGUGAGUAACGCGUGGGAACGUGCCCUUUGCUUCGGAAUAGCCCCGGGAAACUGGGAGUAAUACCGGAUGAGCCCUACGGGGGAAAGAUUUAUCGGCGAAGGAUCGGCCCGCGUUGGAUUAGGUAGUUGGUGGGGUAAUGGCCUACCAAGCCGACGAUCCAUAGCUGGUUUGAGAGGAUGAUCAGCCACACUGGGACUGAGACACGGCCCAGACUCUUACGGGAGGCAGCAGUGGGGAAUCUUAGGCGAUGGGGGAAACCCUGAUCUAGCCAUGCCGCGUAUGCAAUGAAGGCCUUAGGGUUGUAAAGCUCUUUCAGCUGGAAGAUAAUGAC